rnacentral:rRNA from 1 species
UCAGGCCUAACACAUGCAAGUCGAACGAGAUUAUAGGGUAAGCUUGCUUACCUUAUAUGACAGUGGCGCACGGGUGCGUAAUGCGUAUGCAAUCUACCUUAAUCAGGGGGAUAGCCUCUCGAAAGAGAGAUUAAUACCGCAUAACAUUAUGAUAUGGCAUCAUAUUAUAAUCAAACAUUUAUGGGAUUAAGAUGAGCAUGCGUGACAUUAGCUAGUUGGUGAGGUAACGGCUCACCAAGGCAACGAUGUCUAGGGGAUCUGAGAGGAUGACCCCCCACACUGGUACUGAGACACGGACCAGACUCCUACGGGAGGCAGCAGUAAGGAAUAUUGGUCAAUGGACGCAAGUCUGAACCAGCCAUGCCGCGUGCAGGAAGACGGCCCUAUGGGUUGUAAACUGCUUUUAUACGGGAAUAAACCUUCUUUCGUGAAAGAAGCUGAA